CCCCCUUCCUGGAACUUCUUUUUUUCUCUCUAACUCCUUUAGCCCUGGCUGCUCUGACAAAAUAGCCUCCAGUCUGUCCAGUCUCCUCUCCACCCACAGCUUCUUCAUACCCUCUGGGGUGGCAGAGCCCUGACCUGAAUUCCAGAUGUGAAGACAAGCAAGUUAACUGAUCUGAUCGCUUCCCUGUUCCUCCUAGAAGUGUCCAAACCCAGCUGGUUUCCAGGAGAGUGAAAAGCAGUCGCAGGCGCCUCUGAGAAUUCCUAAUUGUCCGAAAUAUACUUGGGGAAGCACCGACCACAUAUCAUAAUACCCGUGUGCAACCAAGCCACUACGGAGAACAAAGGUAACAGGAAGAAGUCAUUCCAGCUUCCUGAAGGCACAGCCCAGGCUUCUGCGCCUUCCCCAAGGUCAAUGGAGCAGCCUGCCUCCCAAGGCACACAGACACAUGCUGUUUUUCUGGGAGCUGCCUGGUGUAAGAGCAUGUGACAUGUUGCUGGAAUGGACGCUUGAGAGGAUGCGCCAUGUUUGAAGAGAGCAUAACCCAGCAGACUGUGGACAAGGCUCUGGCAUUGACUCACCUUGCUCUCUUCGCCGAUCUUCACUAUCAGGACUUCUUAGAGAGAAACACACCAAAGAACGUCUGGUGAUAUUCCAGCUGCUUCUUCAGGCUUCAACCAGCUCAUGCCAAAUGGCGAAGCCUUGCCCUUUCUUCUGGAUGGAGCCACUGCUGCUGGAUCAAGUGGACUGGACUGCUGACAACAAAGAUGGGAAUUGCCCCACAGAACUACUUCUAAACAGGUCCACGUCCCCAUUGUCCUAUUAGCCAUCUUCCUUCCCUACCUUUGGUCAGUUGGCUCUAAGGGAGGUUUAAGCAUUUUAAAACCUUUAUUAAAUUAGGUUUUGAGAAAUACAA